rnacentral:rRNA from 1 species
GACGAACGCUGGCGGCGUGCUUAACACAUGCAAGUCGAACGGAAAGGCCCUGCUUUUGUGGGGUGCUCGAGUGGCGAACGCGUGAGUAUCACGCGAGUAACCUGCCCUUGUCUUUGGGAUAACUUCAGGAAACUGGGGCUAAUACCCGAUAGGAGCUCCUGCUGCAUGGUGGGGGUUGGAAAGUUUGGGCGGUUGGGGCUCGACUCGCUGGUUAUGAGCUUGUUGGUGGGGUAGUGGCUUACCAAGGUUUUGACGGGUAGCCGGCCUGGGAGGGUGACCGGCCACAUUGGGACUGAGGUACGGCCCAGACUGCUACGGGAGGCAGCAGUGGGGAAUAUUGCACAAUGGGCGGAAGCCUGAUGCGGCAACGCCGCGUGCGGGAUAACGGCCUUCGGGUUGUAAACCGCUUUCGCCUGUGACGAAGCGGGAGUGACGGUAAUGGGUAAGAAAGCACCGGCUAACUACGUG